AAAGUAAUAGUCCGGCGUUAAAGGCUGUCCUGUGUUUGUAUUUAAAACAACAGACCCACAACCAAAAACACAAAAACCUCCAGUUACAUUUAAUGCUGUGGAACAUAAAGACAGCAUACAACUAUAGAAGCAAACUUCAGGUGCCAGUCGUUCUGGAUGAUCGGCUACAUUUGGGGAAAACCUUUUAUUUUCCACACUUCCAUAUUUUAUUUCGCAUACAGGAAGUGUGCUUGCUUUUGAUCAUUUAAGUUCAAUUAAUGCUGAACCAAGGAUGAAGUCAUGAAGCAACGGAAACCUUAUAACAGGUGGAAAGUAAAGUGGAAGAGGCCGGUUCUUGGUUAUGAAGCAGUGAGAGAAGCUGACCUGUGUGACCAUGCUGGAGACGUCUCCCGUGUUGGACGGCAGGAUGACGG